rnacentral:rRNA from 1 species
AUUGAACGCUGGCGGCAGGCCUAACACAUGCAAGUCGAACGAGUGGCGGACGGGUGAGUAAUGUCUGGGCAACUGCCUGAUGGAGGGGGAUAACUACUGGAAACGGUAGCUAAUACCGCAUACCAUCAGAUGUGCCCAGAUGGGAUUAGCUUGUUGGUGGGGUAACGGCGCACAAAGGCGACGAUCCCUAGCUGGUCUGAGAGGAUGACCAGCCAAACGGGAACGGGGACACGGUCCAGAUGCUAACGGGAGGCAGAAGGGGGGAAUAUUGCACAAUGGGCGAAAGCCGGAUGCAGCCAUGUCGCGGGUAUGAAGAAGGCCUUCGGGUUGUAAAGUACUUUCAGCGGGGAGGCGUUACCCGCAGAAGAAGCACCGGCUAACUCCGUGCCAGCAGCCGCGGUAAUUC